CCCCGCGUAACGCGCGGGGCCCCUAUUCCGCUUUUUGCAACCAAGGGGUCUGCUCGUG
rnacentral:ncRNA from 1 species